UCCAGCUCGAACAGUACAACAUGGCCACACGCAACAGACACGUCUCUUACACAAACCAUACAGACAUGGCAAAGGUAAAUGGCGGUGGAGUUGCAAUGUACUACAAAACAGUUCUUACAGCAGAGUCUCGAAAAUACCUGCAAAAUGUGACUGACCUUGAAUUUGUUGUUAUCAAGGUUGAAUCGCCAGUCACAGCUUUGAUAGCAACUGUAUACAGGCCACCAAAUUACAGCCACGUGAGGUUUUACCACAAAUGCAAUGUCUUUUGGACUCAUUGGAAAUGAUGAAUUGCCAACCAAUUAUUGUUUGUGGAGACUUCAAUGAGGACCUUAUGAGCAGAGAAAAAACCCAUCCAAGAACUGUUUCAGUCAAGAGGAUAUGCACAACUUAUUACUGCUGCAACUACCGAAAAACACACAUUGAUUGAUCACCUUUACAUAUCACAGCCAUACGCCUGCCUCCAAUCAGGUGUUCUGAAUACAUAUCACAGUUAUCACAACCCCAUUUAUUGUGUAAUUCACUAACACAAAAUGACUGCAAGGUUGUGAGGGAUAUGGACUUGCCAAGUGAUCUUAGUGUCUUUGCAACUGAGCACACUCUACCACCAACAAGGACAGCUCACCAGUGGGAGCUGAUACAUAAGACUGCUCUCAUCCAUUGAAGAGCUGACCAGAAACGUGAACAGAGAGACUGCAACUGCACCUGAUGGGAUCCCUGCCAUAACAGAUGUGUUCUGUCCAGUGAAGGCAGUAGAGAAGCCCUACACUGAUCUUGAAACUGUGCCACGCUAGUAGAGACCGGCUACAAGGAUGGGCAGCUGUUUUCGCAAAGUCAG